AAGGCUUUAGCUUAGUUAAAAGUACCUGGUUUGCGUUCAGGAGAUGUAGGGUAGUAUCUUGCAAGUCUUA
rnacentral:tRNA from 1 species